rnacentral:rRNA from 1 species
AACUCUUAGCAACGGAUAUCUUGGUUCUCGUAACGAUGAAGAACGCAGCGAAAUGCGAUACGUAAUGCGAAUUGCAGAAUUCAGUGAAUCAUCAAAUCUUUGAACGCAAAUUGCGCUUUCUGGAUAGGCCAGAGAGCAUGCUUCCUUGAGUCUCG